rnacentral:rRNA from 1 species
GAUGAACGCUGGCGGCGUGCCUAAUACAUGCAAGUCGAGCGAACGGACGAGAAGCUUGCUUCUCUGAUGUUAGCGGCGGACGGGUGAGUAACACGUGGAUAACCUACCUAUAAGACUGGGAUAACUUCGGGAAACCGGAGCUAAUACCGGAUAAUAUUUUGAACCGCAUGGUUCAAAAGUGAAAGACGGUCUUGCUGUCACUUAUAGAUGGAUCCGCGCUGCAUUAGCUAGUUGGUAAGGUAACGGCUUACCAAGGCAACGAUGCAUAGCCGACCUGAGAGGAUGAUCGGCCACACUGGAACUGAGACACGGUCCAGACUCCUACGGGAGGCAGCAGUAGGGAAUCUUGCGCAAUGGGCGAAAGCCUGACGGAGCAACGCCGCGUGAGUGAUGAAGGUCUUCGGAUCGUAAAACUCUGUUAUUAGGGAAGAACAUAUGUGUAAGUAACUGUGCACAUCUUGACGGUACCUAAUCAGAAAGCCACGGCUAACUACGUG